rnacentral:rRNA from 1 species
UACGGAGGGGGGCUAGCGUUGUUCGGAAUUACUGGGCGUAAAGCGUACGUAGGCGGCUUUGUAAGUUAGAGGUGAAAGCCCCGGGGCUCAACUCCGGAAUUGCCUUUAAGACUGCAUCGCUUGAAUCAUGGAGAGGUGAGUGGAAUUCCGAGUGUAGAGGUGAAAUUCGUAGAUAUUCGGAAGAACACCAGUGGCGAAGGCGACUCACUGGACAUGUAUUGA